rnacentral:rRNA from 1 species
GUAACGCCUGCCCUGUGGAAACCCUAAACGGCCGCGGAAUUAAAACCGUGCAAAGGUAGCACAAUCACUUGUCCCUUAAAUGCAGACCCGUAUGAAAGGCAUCAUGAGAGAAGACCUGUCUCCUAAGGCCUGCCAAUGAAAUUGAACUGCCCGUACAAAAGCUGACAUUCACAAGCUAGACAAAAAGACCCUGUGGAACUUUAACAACUUGCUCAUUUGACUGAGCAAUAAUUUUAGUUGGGACAACUUUAGAAAAAAUAAACUUCCUAAUGCACCAAGACCCACAAGUCUAUCUUUUUCCCCACCCCGACCCAGUCAUACUGAUUAACGAAAUAAGCUACCCCAGGGAUAACAGCGCCACCUUCUCAAAGAGUCCAUAUCAACAAGAAGAUCUACGACCUCGAUGUUGGAUCAGGGUCCCCAGACAGUGCAGCAGCUGUCCAUGGUUCGUUUGUUCAACGACUAACACCCU